rnacentral:rRNA from 1 species
UACGAAGGGGGCUAGCGUUGCUCGGAAUCACUGGGCGUAAAGCGCACGUAGGCGGGUUGUUAAGUCGGGGGUGAAAUCCUGGAGCUCAACUCCAGAACUGCCUUCGAUACUGGCGACCUUGAGUCCGGGAGAGGAGAGUGGAACUCCGAGUGUAGAGGUGAAAUUCGUAGAUAUUCGGAAGAACACCAGUGGCGAAGGCGGCUCACUGGCCCGGUACUGACGCUGAGGUGCGAAAGCGUGGGGAGCAAACAGG